AGCGAACGCUGGCGGCAGGCCUAACACAUGCAAGUCGAACGAACUCUUCGGAGUUAGUGGCGGACGGGUGAGUAACACGUGGGAACGUGCCUUUAGGUUCGGAAUAACUCAGGGAAACUUGUGCUAAUACCGAAUGUGCCCUUCGGGGGAAAGAUUUAUCGCCUUUAGAGCGGCCCGCGUCUGAUUAGCUAGUUGGUGAGGUAAAGGCUCACCAAGGCGACGAUCAGUAGCUGGUCUGAGGGGAUGAUCAGCCACAUUGGGACUGAGACACGGCCCAAACUCCUACGGGAGGCAGCAGUGGGGAAUCUUGCGCAAUGGGCGAAAGCCUGACGCAGCCAUGCCGCGUGAAUGAUGAAGGUCUUAGGAUUGUAAAAUUCUUUCACCGGGGACGAUAAUGACGGUACCCGGAGAAGAAGCCCCGGCCAACUUCGUG
rnacentral:rRNA from 1 species